UACGGGGGGGGCAAGCGUUGUUCGGAAUUACUGGGCGUAAAGGGCUCGUAGGCGGCCAACUAAGUCAGACGUGAAAUCCCUCGGCUUAACCGGGGAACUGCGUCUGAUACUGGAUGGCUUGAGUCCGGGAGAGGGAUGCGGAAUUCCAGGUGUAGCGGUGAAAUGCGUAGAUAUCGAGAGGAACACCGGUGGCGAAGGCGGUUCUCUGGGCCUUACCUGACGCUGAGGAGCGAAAGCGUGGGGAGCGAACAGG
rnacentral:rRNA from 1 species